rnacentral:rRNA from 1 species
GAUGAACGCUGGCGGCGUGCCUAAUACAUGCAAGUCGAACGCAUUGUGGUUGAAAUGAUAUGAAGAACUUGUUCAGAUUUGAUUUUCAACAUUGCAAUGAGUGGCGAACGGGUGAGUAACACGUGGGAAACCUACCUCUUAGCAGGGGAUAACAUUUGGAAACAAAUGCUAAUACCGUAUAAUAAUUAAAACCGCAUGGUUUUAGUUUAAAAGAUGGUCUUGCUAUCACUAAGAGAUGGUCCCGCGGUGUAUUAGUUAGUUGGUGAGGUAAUGGCUCACCAAGACAAUGAUACAUAGCCGAGUUGAGAGACUGACCGGCCACAAUGGGACUGAGACACGGCCCAUACUCCUACGGGAGGCAGCAGUAGGGAAUCUUCCACAAUGGACGAAAGUCUGAUGGAGCAACGCCGCGUGUGUGAUGAAGGGUUUCGGCUCGUAAAACACUGUUGUAAGAGAGAAUGACAUUGAGAGUAACUGUUCAAUGUGUG